ACUAUUUUGACAGAAAAAUGUGAUGAUUUUAGAAUUCAUUAAUAUAUAAUUAAUUGUAUUAUAUAAAUAGUA
rnacentral:tRNA from 1 species